AAGUCGUAACAAGGUUUCCGUAGGUGAACCUGCGGAAGGAUCAUUAACGAGUUUGAACAUGGGUUGAUGCUGGCCUUCCGAGGCAUGUGCUCACCCUGCUCAUCCACAUUACCCCUGUGCACCUUUGUGGCGGGUUAGGCCUGAAAGGGUCAAGCCAGCUACGUUUUUUUACACACACGCUUCAGUUCAGAAUGUAAACUUGCUAUAAAACGCAUUAAAUACAACUUUCAACAACGGAUCUCUUGGCUCUC
rnacentral:misc_RNA from 1 species